rnacentral:misc_RNA from 1 species
CAACCCUCAAGCCCUGCUUGGUAUUGGGCCGCGCCGGCACCCGGCGGGCCUUAAAAUCAGUGGCGGCGUCAUCCGGCUCCAAGCGUAGUAGCUAAACCUCGCUUCGGAGCUCCGGGUGGCAGCUUGCCAGCGAACCCCAAAUCUCACAA